GUGCCAGCAGCCGCGGUAAUACGGAGGGUGCAAGCGUUGUCCGGAUUUAUUGGGUUUAAAGGGUGCGUAGGUGGUUUAGUAAGUCUGGUUUGAAAGUCAGCCGCUUAACGGUUGAGGGUGGCUGGAUACUGCUGAACUUGAAUUUUCCGGAGGCAGGCGGAACGGGUUGUGUAGCGGUGAAAUGCAUAGAUAUGACCCAGAACACCGAUUGCGAAGGCAGCCUGCUACGGAUGGAUUGACACUGAGGCACGAGAGCAUGGGGAGCAAACAGGAUUAGAUACCCUGGUAGUCCAUGCCGUAAACGAUGAUUACUGUCUGUUUGGCCUUCGGGCUGAGUGGAUAAGCGAAAGCGAUAAGUAAUCCACCUGGGGAGUACGCCGGCAACGGUGAA
rnacentral:rRNA from 1 species